rnacentral:rRNA from 1 species
GAGCGAACGAUAGGUAUGAUUAGGGAAGAGCUUGCGUCACAUUAGUUAGUUGGUGGGGUAAUGGCCUACCAAGACGAUGAUGUGUAGCCGGGCUGAGAGGUCGAACGGCCACAUUGGGACUGAGACACGGCCCAAACUCCUACGGGAGGCAGCAGUAAGGAAUUUUCGGCAAUGGAGGAAACUCUGACCGAGCAAUGCCGCGUGAACGAUGAAGUAUUUCGGUACGUAAAGUUCUUUUAUUAGGGAAGAAAAGAUGGUGGAAAAACCAUUAUGACGGUACCUAAUGAAUAAGCCCCGGCUAACUAUGUGCCAGCAGCCGCGGUAAUACAUAGGGGGCAAGCGUUAUCCGGAAUUAUUGGGCGUAAAGGGUGCGUAGGCGGUUAAAUAAGUUUAUGGUCUAAGUGCAACGCUCAACGUUGUGAUGCUAUAAAAACUGUUUAGCUAGAGUUGGAUAGAGGCAAGUGGAAUUCCGUGUGUAGUGGUAAAAUGCGUAAAUAUACGGAGGAACACCAGAAGCGAAGGCGGCUUGCUGGGUCUUAACUGACGCUGAGGCACGAAAGCGUGGGGAGCAAACAGGAUUAGAUACCCUGGUAGUCCACGCCCUAAACGAUGAGUACUAAACGUUGGAUAAAACCAGUGUUGAAGUUAACACAUUAAGUACUCCGCCUGAGUAGUACGUACGCAAGUAUGAAACUUAAAGGAAUUGACGGGACUCCGCACAAUCGGUGGAUCAUGUUGUUUAAUUCUAAAGUACCCGAAAAACCUCACCAGGUCUUGACAUGCUUUUGCAAAGCUGUAGAAAUACAGUGGAGGUUAUCAGAAGCACAAGUGGUGCAUGGUUGUCGUCAGCUCUUGUCUUGAGAGGUUGGUGUUAAUCUC